GAUGAACGCUGGCGGCGUGCCUAAUACAUGCAAGUCGAGCGAUCGAACGAGAAGCUUGCUCUUCUGGUGUUAGCGGCGAACGGGUGAGUAACACGUAGAUAACCUACCUUUAAGCCUGGGAUAACUUCUGGAAACCGGAGCUAAUACCGGAUAAUAAUUUGAACCGCAUGGUUUUAAAGUGAAAGACGGAAUUGCUGUACCACAAAGUUGAACUCCGUUUGCUUUAGUUAGUGGGUAAGGUAACGGCUUACCAAGGCAACGAUGCAUAGCCGACCUGAGAGGGUGAUCGGCCACACGGGAACGGGGACACGGUCCAGACUCCUACGGGAGGAAGCAUUAGGGAAUCUUGCGCAAUGGGCGAAAGCCUGCCGGAGCAACGCCGCUUGGUUGAUGAAGGUCUUCGGAUCGUAAAACUCUGUUAUUGGGGAGGACGAGAUGGGGAAGUAACUGUGCACAUCGUGACGGUACCUAAUCAGAAAGCCACGGCUAACUACGUG
rnacentral:rRNA from 1 species